rnacentral:misc_RNA from 1 species
GGAAUAUUGGACAAUGGGCGCAAGCCUGAUCCAGCCAUGCCGCGUGAGUGAUGACGGCCUUAGGGUUGUAAAGCUCUUUCGGCGGGGACGAUAAUGACGGUACCCGCAGAAGAAGCCCCGGCUAACUUCGUGCCAGCAGCCGCGGUAAUACGAAGGGGGCUAGCGUUGUUCGGAAUCACUGGGCGUAAAGGGCGCGUAGGCGGCUUUGUAAGUCGGGGGUGAAAGCCUGUGGCUCAACCACAGAAUUGCCUUCGAUACUGCAGGGCUUGAGACCGGAAGAGGUCAGUGGAACUGCGAGUGUAGAGGUGAAAUUCGUAGAUAUUCGCAAGAACACCAGUGGCGAAGGCGGCUGACUGGUCCGGAUCUGACGCUGAGGCGCGAAAGCGUGGGGAGCAAACAGGA